rnacentral:rRNA from 1 species
UACGAAGGGGGCUAGCGUUGUUCGGAAUCACUGGGCGUAAAGGGCGCGUAGGCGGCUUUAUAAGUCGGGGGUGAAAGCCUGUGGCUCAACCACAGAAUUGCCUUCGAUACUGUAGAGCUUGAGACCGGAAGAGGUAAGUGGAACUGCGAGUGUAGAGGUGAAAUUCGUAGAUAUUCGGAAGAACACCAGUGGCGAAGGCGGCUCACUGGACUGGUAUUGACGCUGAGGUGCGAAAGCGUGGGGAGCAAACAGG